CCUACGGGAGGCAGCAGUGAGGAAUAUUGGUCAAUGGACGAGAGUCUGAACCAGCCAAGUAGCGUGAAGGAUGACUGCCCUAUGGGUUGUAAACUUCUUUUAUAAAGGAAUAAAACGAGGCACGUGUGCCUUUCUGCAUGUACUCUAUGAAUAAGGAUCGGCUAACUCCGUGCCAGCAGCCGCGGUAAUACGGAGGAUCCGAGCGUUAUCCGGAUUUAUUGGGUUUAAAGGGAGCGUAGAUGGGUUGUUAAGUCAGUUGUGAAAGUUUGCGGCUCAACCGUAAAAUUGCAAUUGAUACUGGCAGUCUUGAGUACAGUUGAGGUAGGCGGAAUUCGUGGUGUAGCGGUGAAAUGCUUAGAUAUCACGAAGAACCCCGAUUGCGAAGGCAGCUUACUAAACUGUGACUGACAUUGAUGCUCGAAAGUGUGGGUAUCAAACAGGAUUAGAUACCCGGGUAGUC
rnacentral:rRNA from 1 species